UCUACGCUUCUGAAUCAUCUAGAGAGAUUCCUGAGAAGGGAAAGAAUAGGACAUCUAUUCUCAUGGAAGAAUAAAACAUUACGCUCUGGAGACAACCAGGCUGGACAGGGGGCAGAGUGAACACGUCUCUCCAAAGACCUCAGAUAUCAGUUUUCCAGGUAUGUUCGAGGGCUCCACGGUAUCUCCCAAACACAGUAACCAGGGCACGAGGCCUGGAUACUGAGUUCAGUCUCAACUACAGCAAGGUGCGCGAGCACCGCUUCACCAGCUGUGAACAGGUAUCUUGGACAGGACUGAUCUGAGGACAGUGCUGAGGUCUUGAGAGUCUUGGAGUGGGGCGCUGGACUCGGAAACAGAGGACCACCUGACAGAGUCAGAGUCACCCAUUGUUCUGAGAAUGUGUGCAUUUUUGAGCAGAGGAACAAUGACAAAAGAUCCGGGUGAAUCUCAGUUCAAAAAUCCUUAUGUGCUUCAAAAAAGGAAAACAAAAUAUUUUCAUCCACCUUAAAAAUUCGUGAAAAGAAAAACCACAGAGCUCUGUUAGUGAAAUGCCAAAAGUCAUAUUAUGUAUGGACACUGAGAGUCUGAUGCUUGUCUAGAGAGACUGAGAACUGGGUCUCAAGUCCACAUUUUUUCUGUCUCAGCAUCAAAAGGAGCCAAAGCAGAGAAGUGGGAGUAGGGAGAGGAGUGGAGCUUUGAAAGCUUGCAGAGGUUGCCUGGAACGACUGGAAGAGGUCUGGGAUGUGACAACGCUUCUGCAAAGGGACCUGCCUUCCACCUCAGCACCAUUAGGCUCCUUGCUGAGCCUCCCUCAGGGUGAGCCCAUGGCACUAACAACGGGCACCAUCCCACAAAGGUCACGCCCAUGCUCCCCUUGGAGACCAGCCAUCGUAGGGAUCGUCUGUUCCAGCUAUCCUCUUCCUACCCUGUCUUGGUGGCGGGGGCUGCCAAAGAAUGGAGCUUGUCCACCUUGACACACUUGGGGACCCAAAAGAAUACCUUCCCAUACACUCACCAGAGGCAUGAUUUUGGUGAGACCCGAGAAACAGACAGGUAGAGGCAGGUAGCCUCUUUUUUGUCAGCACAGAUGUGCAGAAGCUGCUAGAAAUAUCAAUCACCAAGAGAGUGGAAUUAAUGUUUUGGAAGGAGUAAGAAAAGAAGGAGGAGGCAGGCUGCCAUGUGACUUCAUUGAUGAAGAGAAUUAAGUCACUGAGUGACAAGGAGGACACCUUGGGCACCAGAAUUCCUGGAAAAUAAAAAGCAAACCAGAACAGAUGCUUGGACACAUGGGGACCCACUGCCCAUCUCACACUGUUUUUCCCAAUGGAACCAUCUUCCUCUCAACUGAAGACUGUCUAUAAUGAAGUGUCUUGACCUAUAGUCCAAAAGAAGGCACAAACUUUGAUCCUCAAUGCAAUUCAAAUCCUACAAUGUCACUUUUUAAAAAAGCACCUAGAAAGUGGGCAAACUUUACCCUCUUUGGUUAGAAAAAUCUCAGCAAGUCUUUAGCCAGAUCACCCCCAAUCUUCCCCAGGAAAACAGGUCUUCCCAGGCACAGAAAUCUGUCUCCUUUGUUCCUGGGGAUCUGAUCAGCCCUGAGGUUCAGGAGAGACUGGAGUGCCCUCUUUCCAAAAGGUUCAUGCAGCAAGAGAGUGGCCGCCCCGCAGAACCCAAGAGUCUCAGAAAGUGAUGCAGCCUCAGGGCGAAUCCCCAAGGCCUUGGCAGGCAAUGGACACAAAGAGAUCCUCAAGGCUUUCUGCAGGUCUAGGCAAAAGCAGCCAGGAAACACAGAAAAUGGCAUCCUGGUACCUAGCAAGGAUCCCAACAGGAAAGCUCCUGAGCCAAGAUGUAAAGCAGAGCAUGAGGAGGUUCCUAAAAGUUUUGUGCAUGACCUCAGCAAACCCUCCAGUGAAGGUCCCAAGUGCAAAGCCUGAGUUAGAAAGAGAGUUGAGCCCAGGCAGGAAGCAUCCAGAAGAAAUCCUGGGGGUCUUUAUAAACAGGAAGUCACAGCAGAUCCAUAAUGGUUGGAUCCCUGUUAAUGUCUAUUGUUCAAGGCUUUCUGCCAACCACUUCAUAGACCUUCCUGGACAGUCAAAUGCUCCCAUGGGAACAGAAAAUGCAGGUUGUUCUCAGGAUUGGGAAGCUUCCAUGUAGACUUCCUAUGAGUCUUUUUUCCUCAGUCCUUAUAUUGAACAGAAGCUGGAAGUUCAUAUAAUAAAGUUUCAGGUGAGGCACAGAUGGGUCCUUCUCCUAGGUUCCUGUAUAGCUUGAAGUUGAAAACUUCUCAUCACAUACGACUUCCAAGAUCCACCUUGAAGAUUACCAGUGACUCUGGGGACCACCCAAAAACCCAAGUUAACAGAGGGCUCAGGAAAACAUUCUCAUCCCCAUCCAGGAGAGAAAGUGAUAACAAUCCAGGCAGUGCCCACCCUGGAGAGUACCUGCCCUGACCCCUACCAGGCAACUGAGAAAACCUGGGGGGCUCUGGGAGGAACCUCAACUGGAAACAUCCAGAAGCCCUCAGAGGCCCCUGUGGCUGGGCAGGAAGACAAGCCACCUUCUCAGGCCCCCACAUACACAUUUGGGGGCAGAAUUUGGCACACUGAGUCUAUUGUGGAGGCUGACAAAGGCAGCUUGGAGACCAGUCCACAUCCAGAAAUGGCCAGGAAUGAGCCACAGGAGGAAUCUGGGGAUUGGGCCACCCCAGAAACUUGCUCUAGUGUGACUGUCAUGGACCCUGAUGAAUGUUCCCAAUCUUCCAGAAAACAAGAGACUGUGGAGGGAGACCCUGCUUAGAAAGGUUCUUUUGAAUCUAGUCUACUAAUCAAAUCCCAAAUAAUUAAUAUUGAUAUAAGAUCAUGGUCUCCAAGGUCCCAUAAAAAUCCCUCCUCAAACACAAAGACUGUUGCCACAAAUCCAGAAGAUGUAUACUUUGAUGAACAGUUUCAUAAGCUUAAGUUCCAAGGGUUCAUAGACUGGCAGAAACUGGCUCAAGGCCAGGCCACUUGCCUGCUCUUUCAAGACUGUGCCGCUGGGAGGCUUCUCAAAACCUGUCACUCAGAUAUAUUCAUUGCCACAAACACCUUGGCUUCCCAGGAAACUCUGUGCUGUUCUGAAUCCCUGUCCAAUUCCCACACAUGUGAUGUUAUGUCCAGUGGAGGGAGCAGCCAGGGACAGCAGAAAGCCCGGAGAAGGCAGCCCCAACAUAAGAGUCAGCAAAGGAAGUUCGUUUCCACUGAUGCCAGAGAGACUAAUAGGAGGCCCAAACUACAAUAGCAUAAAAAGGGGUUGGUGGUACAGAGGUUCUACCAGGCCCGCAGGAUGAGCCACCCUGGCCAGAAAAAGGAAUCAGCAGAGUCCCUACAAAACAGUUAAUCCUGAAGAAGGGACAGGUUUCUUCAGAAAACCACUUGAAAGAAAGGAUUAAGCAGUUUCUGCAGUGGAUUUGCCCCUGAAGGCAAAAGACUGGAACAAGCCCUGCAAAAAGCAAGCCUGCAGCAGACACUGCCCAGAGGCAGGGGACUGUCAAAAGAAGUCUGAUUGCGGACAGCAAGGCUGUUGAGGCUCAGGCUCUCAUGACUGACAUCUGUUGGACAGAUCUUAUAGGAGAAGAUGGAGCUUCACCAUGGACCACAUCUUCGGAGCUUCACUGGUACAAAGCAGAAACUCAGGCCCCAUUAAGUCCAGCUUACUGCUACCACGGCUUUCUCUGAAAUCAAGAGCAAAGGAGAGUGAUGAAACAAACAGCCCACCACCAGCGAGCUACCCCCAUAGGCCAUAUGUAUCCUACAAAGAGGAAGUGGACCAGUCCCAGGAACAGCACGUGGACCUUCCCACCCAGGGAGCCAGGUCCCCAGCUGGGAAGAGCCUGCCAGCACGGAUCAAGAGUGACAAGUGUCCCAGGCCAUCCCCUCCGCAGCCCAAGGCACUGUCUUCUUCAGAAAUACACCUCUGCUGGUCAAUCAGAACAUCCCUGUCACAGCAUUCCUGGUAGGAAAAUUCUUCUCCCAGAAAAAAUGCAUACUGUGCAUAUGAACAAUUUUUCUCUCAUGUUAGGACAUCCUCUGUGUGUUAAAAGCUUCUU